GGCGGUGUCGCGGGCAUGGUGAUGUCGGCGCUGUCGGCGCCGCUGUACGCCAAGGCGCUGAUCGACUCGGUGCUGCGCCGC
rnacentral:tRNA from 3 species